GGGGAAGCCGGUGGGAAUCCGGCGCUGACCUGCAACCGUGUGCGGCCCGCCGGGCCGCGAGUCGGACAGCCC
rnacentral:ncRNA from 2 species